GAUUAAGUGUACAACAGUAACAGCUGUGACUGACUGCAUUAGCACUGAUUUUGCAGAAUAUAAUGUCGAUGGCGGUAAAGAGGAUCUGUUUGAUAUCAAUGAAGAGGCUGCUCUUGAUCUUUUUGAGGGAGAUAUUGUAUAUGAUGAGAAUCUGGGGAGAAAUUCUAUAAUUGG